GGCGGAGACCCGCCCCGGCCCACAGGACACCCCCUCGGAACGCGCGGCCCCCCAGCUAAGUCGGGUUUAACAGCCGCAGAAAUUAUCUUGUCUCCGCGUUCUUUCUUCUGCCGGCGAGCCAGUGUCAUUUGUGGAUUAUUAAAGAAACCUCUUCAUGCCUGAUACGUUAAGGACCUUCAAUAUAACAUCAAAUAGAAAGGGUGA